rnacentral:rRNA from 1 species
GACAGAGGGUGCAAACGUUGUUCGGAAUUACUGGGCGUAAAGCGUGCGCAGGCGGUUUUGUAAGCCAGAUGUGAAAUCCCCGGGUUUAACCUGGGAAUGGCAUUUGGGACUGCAAGGCUUGAGUGCGGCAGAGGAGACUGGAAUUCCUGGUGUAGCAGUGAAAUGCGUAGAUAUCAGGAGGAAUACCGAUGGCGAAGGCAGGUCUCUGGGCUGACACUGACGCUCAUGCACGAAAGCGUGGGGAGCAAACAGG